rnacentral:rRNA from 1 species
CCCUUAGAUGUUCUGGGCCGCACGCGUGCUACACUGAGUAAAUCAAUGGGUAAGGGAACACGAAAGUGCAACCUAAUCUUGAAAUUUGCUCGUGAUGGGGAUCGACGGUUGCAAUUUUCCGUCGUGAACGAGGAAUACCUUGUAGGCGCGUGUCAUCAUCACGCACCGAAUACGUCCCUGCCCUUUGUACACACCGCCCGUCGCUCCUACCGAUUGAGUGAUCCGGUGAGGCUCUGGGACCUGGACGGAAAGAGCGUUUCGCUUGUUCUGUUUGGGAAACUUGGUCGAACCUUAUCAUUUAGAGGAAGGAGAAGUCGUAACA